rnacentral:rRNA from 1 species
GGGAAAACUUACCGGGUCCGGACACACUGAGGAUUGACAGGCGAUAUAAAUUAUGCUAGUCCUUUCAUGAUUGUGUGAUAGGUGGUGCAUGGCCGUUCUUAGUUCGUGGAGUGAUCUGUCUGCUUAAUUGCGUUUCAGAUAAAAUGUGACAUUUCAGUGUCUUGGUGCGUGGCUCUUCGGAACCCUCACCUCGNANGUGUGUCACUGUGAAAGCAACGA